ACGAACCUUCGGGUUAGUGGCGCACGGGUGCGUAACGCGUGGGAAUAUACCCUUGAGUAAGGAAUAACUGCUGGAAACGGUAGCUAAUACCUUAUAAUGACUUCGGUCCAAAGAUUUAUCGCUCAAGGAUUAGCCCGCGUCUGAUUAGCUAGUUGGUGAGGUAAUGGCUCACCAAGGCGACGAUCAGUAGGGGUUCUGAGAGGAUGAUCCCCCACACUGGUACUGAGACACGGACCAGACUCCUACGGGAGGCAGCAGUGAGGAAUAUUGGACAAUGGGCGAAAGCCUGAUCCAGCCAUGCCGCGUGAGUGAAGAAGGCCUUAGGGUUGUAAAGCUCUUUCAAUUGUGAAGAUAAUGACGGUAGCAAUAGAAGAAGCUCCGGCUAAAUUCGUGCCAGCAGCCGCGGUAAUACGAAUGAAGCGAGCGUUGUUCGGAAUCACUGGGCUUAAAGCGUAUGUAGGCGGAACAGUAAGUCAGAAGUGAAAGCCUGGGGCUCAACCCCAGAACUGCUUUUGAAACUACAGUUCUAGAAUCCUGGAGAGGUUGGGAGAAUUCCGAGUGUAGAGGUGAAAUUCGCAGAUAUUCGGAGGAAUACCAGUGGCGAAAGCGCCCAGCUGGACAGGUAUUGACGCUCAGAUACGAAAGCGUGGGGAGCAAACAGGAUUAGAUACCCUGGUAGUCCACGCCGUAAACGAUGUGUGCUAGUUGUCGGGUCUCUUUAGAGACUCGGUGACGCAGAGAAAUCAUUAAGCACGCGCCUGGGGGAGUACG
rnacentral:rRNA from 1 species